AAACUUUCAACAACGGAUCUCUUGGCUCUCGCAUCAAUGAAGAACGCA
rnacentral:rRNA from 1 species